GCCGAGCGCGUCCCAGCUGCCUCCCCGCAGCCCCUCCUCUGCCCCCCAGCUCUGGAAGCGAGGAGGGAGCCUGGCAUCUGUCUAGACAGCGGGAGGAGGCGCUGGGUUUUGGGCCCGGGCACGCAGAGGAGGGCGGGGAGAGGCAGUUCCCAGCCCUUCCCUGCCCACCGGGUCCCCCCGGGUGCUUACCCACGGCCGUCUCCCCUGGGCCCUCUUUUUUCAGGGCUAGAACCUUUCUACAGUCGAGCAACUUGGGUUUUUUAUUUAAGACGAGGUUUUUUAGGAGACUUUUGUAGCUCUUUUCGUAUUUACACUUAUUGCUGAUGGUUUGUAAAUCUAUUUAUUUUUUAACCCGUGUUUUUUUCAUAUUUUGAGAGGUCUGUUUUUUAUAUCCCGCUGGAUUUGUCACAAUAAAGACUUGCACAGAGAAACGCCGGCGUCUCGGCCCCGCUCUCCCCCUGCCCCAAAUCCACAAAGUGCCCCCUGGGCGGGGGGAGACUCGAGGGGAGUGGGUGCUGGGGCAGGGGUGAGGCAGACCUGCCCCCUGUGAGCUGCAGGGGUGCGUUUUGGGGGGUGCAGAUGCUGCUGAGCUGGGCUGAUUGAGCCAAAUCCCCCCCAGCAACACGAGCACGGCCGCAGAGCCACAUCUGCCCCCACAGGCACGGGCCCUGCAGCUGGGCUCCCCCGGGUGCUUCUCACCUCGGAGAGGCGCUGGGUUCAUGUCCUGGCUCUCCCCUGGUGUCACCGAGGGGGGACAGGGGACCUGGGACAGGCCUGUGGUGGCAGCAGGUCGGUGUCCUCGUGUCUUGGGCACGUUGGUGCUGGCAGCGGGUCGGUGCCCUCACACCUUGCGGGGCACGUUGGUGAUGAUGGGUUUGGGGCGGGUUUUGAAGAGCAGCUUGGUCUUGAUGAGGGCGGUGACGGCGUAGCGGGCGUGCGGCUCCGCGGGGCCGGCCGCCUCCUUCACCAGCACGGCGAACGGCUUCUCCAGCGGCACCACCUUCCCGUACA
rnacentral:lncRNA from 1 species